rnacentral:rRNA from 1 species
GACGAACGCUGGCGGCGUGCCUAAUACAUGCAAGUAGAACGCUGAAGAGAGGAGCUUGCUCUUCUUGGAUGAGUUGCGAACGGGUGAGUAACGCGUAGGUAACCUGCCUGGUAGCGGGGGAUAACUAUUGGAAACGAUAGCUAAUACCGCAUGAAAUUGCUUAUCGCAUGAUAAUUAAUUGAAAGAUGCAAUUGCAUCACUACCAGAUGGACCUGCGUUGUAUUAGCUAGUUGGUGAGGUAACGGCUCACCAAGGCGACGAUACAUAGCCGACCUGAGAGGGUGAUCGGCCACACUGGGACUGAGACACGGCCCAGACUCCUACGGGAGGCAGCAGUAGGGAAUCUUCGGCAAUGGGGGGAACCCUGACCGAGCAACGCCGCGUGAGUGAAGAAGGUUUUCGGAUCGUAAAGCUCUGUUGUAAGAGAAGAACGGGUGUGAGAGUGGAAAGUUCACACUGUGACGGUAUCUUACCAGAAAGGGACGGCUAACUACGUGCCAGCAGCCGCGGUAAUACGUAGGUCCCGAGCGUUGUCCGGAUUUAUUGGGCGUAAAGCGAGCGCAGGCGGUUAGAUAAGUCUGAAGUUAAAGGCUGUGGCUUAACCAUAGUAUGCUUUGGAAACUGUUUAACUUGAGUGCAGAAGGGGAGAGUGGAAUUCCAUGUGUAGCGGUGAAAUGCGCAGAUAUAUGGAGGAACACCGGUGGCGAAAGCGGCUCUCUGGUCUGUAACUGACGCUGAGGCUCGAAAGCGUGGGGAGCAAACAGG